GACGAACGCUGGCGGCGUGCUUAACACAUGCAAGUCGAACGAUGAAGCCGGAGCUUGCUCCGGUGGAUCAGUGGCGAACGGGUGAGUAACACGUGAGCAAUCUGCCCUUCACUCUGGGAUAACUGCGGGAAACUGUAGCUAAUACCGGAUAAGACACCCUGGGGCAUCCCAGGGUGUGGAAAGAAGUUCGGUCAAGGGUGAGCUCGCGGCCUAUCAGCUAGUUGGUGGGGUAAUGGCUCACCAAGGCGACAACGGGUAGCCGGCCUGGGAGGGUGGCCGGCCACACUGGAACUGAGACACGGUCCAGACUCCUACGGGAGGCAGCAGUGGGGAAUAUUGCACAAUGGGCGAAAGCCUGAUGCAGCAACGCCGCGUGAGGGAUGAAGGCCUUUGGGUUGUAAACCUCUUUUAGCAGGGAAGAAGCGAAAGUGACGGUACCUGCAGAAAAAGCACCGGCUAACUACGUGCCAGCCGCCGCCGUAA
rnacentral:rRNA from 1 species